UCUCUAUGAUGUUCCAAUAGAUCCUACUGACCCUUCACUAUGUACUCAGAAGGAAAAUGUGGAGAAAAUGUAACUGAGAGA